ACUAAUUAGUCAGGCAAGUCAAGAGGGAUAAUGUGGUGGUUAGUUCUUAUAACCAUAUUACUCUUACAGUGGAAUGCCAGGAGUCUCUUGUCAAAUGGUCAAGAUUUUAAGCAGUUUAUAUAUGAACAGACAGAAAAACCUGACCGAAUUUGUAUUCAGGAAACAUGGUUGAAGCUUUUUUUGGAUUUUAGAGUGUAUGGGUAUAUUGCUGUUAGAUAUGAUAGGGAAGAAGGGACUAGUGCUGGGUGUCUUACGUUGAUUAAGGAAGGUAUUCCGUACAAGAUAGGUGACAGGGAAGGGGAUUUGGAGUAUGUAGUGAUACAGGUUUGGAUGGGAGGGAAGGUGAUUAUGGUUGUUAAUUUUUAUAAUCCUUGUAAAAAGUUCGAGUUAAAUAAGCUGGAGGAACUGGACAUGAAAGGAAAUAUUAUAUGGUGUGGGGAUUUUAAUGCACACCAUUUGUUAUGGGGGAGUGACAAAACAGACUACAAUGGGGGAGUGUUAGAGGAAUUUCUGGACAGUAAAAAUCUUGUAUGUUUGAAUGAUGGGAGGAAGACACGAAUUGAUAUUAGCUCUGGUAAGGAAUCCGUAUUAGACUUGACUUUUGCUUCUAGUUCUUUGGCGCCAUUAUGUGAAUGGCGAGUAAACAAUAAGUCGUUUGGUAGUGAUCAUUAUCUGGUUGUGAGUAAAAUAAGGUUUGGUCACAUGCAGGUACCUGAAACGUUAGGGGGGAAGUGGGUGUUUGGGAAGGCGAACUGGGGGAAGUUUAGUAGGGUUUGUGAGAGGAAGCUUUUACAAGUUCAAAAUCAUUUGAGUGUCGAAGAUAUGACUCACAAAAUCAGUCAAUGUAUUCUAAGCGCUGCUGAGGAGGCUAUUCCAAAGACAACAGGGAGAGUUAGAAGGAGAGCAGUCCCAUGGUGGACUGCUGAAUGUCAGUUAGUAGUUAGAGAACGAAAUAGAGCAUUUAAGUUGGUCAAACGGUCUCAUAAUUUUCAACACUUAAUUGACUACAAAAAAGCACAAGCAAGAGUCAGAAGUACAAUAAGAACUAAGAGAACGUACUGGAGAGAUUUAUGUAGUACACUUGGUAGUAGUACUCAAUUGGGGGAAGUGUGGGGGAUGAUCAGGAAAAUGGGGGGAGACAGAAGAGACUGGAGUUAUCCAGUUCUUGAAAAGAAUAAUCAAGUAGCUGUUACUGAUGGGGAAAAAGUUGAUUUGUUGGCUAGUACUUUUGUUGAUGUACAUAGUGGGAGAAAUUUAUCAGAGGAAAGUAAACGAGGAAGAGGGAGAACUAAAGAAAGACAUCUUGACGUUUUAGGGAGGAAGGAAAGUACUGCAGAUGUAAUGGGCUGUCCCUUUUCUAUUGGAGAACUGAAAAGAGCUCUGGGCAGAACUAGGAACAGUGCUCCAGGGAAGGAUGAGAUAUGUUAUGUUAUGCUGAAACAUCUAAGUGAUGAAGCAUUAAAUAAAUUGCUAAUGUUGUUUAAUAAGGUAUGGACAGUAGGGCGUCUCCCACGUCGGUGGAAAGAAGCGCUGAUUGUACCGAUAAAGAAACCAGGGAAAGACCAUAGCGAUCCUGGAAAUUAUAGGCCCAUUGCUCUGACUUCCAAUAUGUGUAAACUAAUGGAACGGAUGGUGAAUGAGAGAUUGGUUCACUUUUUAGAGUCAAGAAAUGUCUUAGCACCCUAUCAGAGUGGUUUUCGUAGAGGAAGAGGGACGAUGGAUCCUGUCUUAUGUCUGGAAGAUGAUAUCAGGAAGGCGCAAGUUAAUAAAGAGGUGGUGGUUGCUGUCUUCUUUGAUGUAGAAAAGGCAUAUGAUAUGCUUUGGAGAGACGGUCUACUGAUUAAGCUACAUGAAGCAGGGGUAGGAGGAAGUAUGUUUAAUUGGGUGUUAGACUUUUUAUGUGACAGAACAAUUCAAGUUAAAAUAGGGUCGCAUGUUUCUGAGCCGUGUGUGAUAGAAAAUGUAACUCCUCAGGGAAGUGUAGUUAGUCCAACGGUUUUCUCACUUAUGAUCAAUGAUAUUUUUAAAGAUGUGUCUGGUAGUUAUGGUAAAUCACUUUUUGCUGACGAUGGAGCAUUAUGGGUGAGGGGGAAGAAUGUUGACCAUCUCGUCCGGAAACUUCAAGAGGGGAUAGGUAAAGUAGAAAAGUGGGGUGUAGAAUGGGGUUUUAAAUUUUCUGUUGAGAAAACUAAAGUAAUGUUUUUCACAAAUAAGAAAAUUGGGGGAAAUAAACGCUUAUACUUAUAUGGGAAACAGAAAGGGUGGAUUGUUUUCGUUUUUUGGGUGUGGUUUUUGACAAGAGAUUAACUUGGAAACAUCACAUAGAGCACGUUGUGGGGAAAAGUAAAAAGGUUCUUAAUAUUUUGAGGUGUUUAGCGGGACUGACAUGGGGUGCUAAUUUUGCUGCACUUAAGAGUAUUUAUCUCACGAUGAUUCGAUCAAGAUUGGAUUAUGGGUGUGUGGUAUAUGGAUCAGCGGCUAAGACUUCCUUGAAGAAGCUGGAUGUAAUUCAAGCUCAAGCACUGAGACUUUGCUUAGGGGCAGUAAAAACAACACCAAUAUGUGCUCUACAAGUGGAAUCGGGAGAAAUGCCACUGUAUAUUAGAAGGCAACAGCUGUUGGUUAAUUAUUGGAUAAAUUUGAAAGGUCAUGACGAAAACCAUCCUGUUAAGAAAGUGUUAGGGACUUGUUGGGAAAGAGGAAAGGUUUUUAAAAAUAGUUUUGGGUGGGUUGGGGAUGAUAGAGCAAGAACUUUUAAAGUGUAUGACAAAGACUUCAAUCAGACAGUGUUGUGGCCUUUACGACCCAUAUGGAUAUUGAAAUAUAUUGACGUAGACAAAUCAUUAACGGACACUAAAAAGAGGAACGUGACCACAGAUAUUUGUCAAAAAUUCUAUAACAGAUUGGACAGCAAAUACAGUGACUUUUUACAGGUGUAUACAGAUGGGUCAAAAGAUCCUAAGACUGAAGCAACUAGUGUAGCAGUGGUAAUUCCGGAGUUAAAUAUCAAGAUUGCGAAAAGAACAUCAACUCGUCUGAGUGUAUAUGCAGUUGAAUUGUAUGCCAUACUGCUGGCUCUAGAAUGGCUGGAAGACAGCAGAGUCUCCAAAGUCCUGAUAUGCAGUGAUUCAUUGUCCGCAUUAUUAAGUAUUGAACAAGGAUGGACAACUACCCAUCAGCAAAUUCUGUAUGACAUUCUUUUUGCUCAUCAUAGACUGUCUGACCAAAAUAAACAUGUGGUAAUAAUGUGGACUCCGGCUCAUGUGGGUAUUUUGGGUAAUGAAAGCGCAGAUAGGUUGGCCAAAGCAGCUGUUAAAAGAGUCGACAUAGAUGUACAGAUACCAUUGUCAAAAUCUGAAGGGAAAAGUGUAGUUUGGACAGAAAGUAAGAACUUCUGGCAAAUGGCAUGGGAUAAUGAAACAAAAGGGAGACAUUUAGAUAGGGUGCAAAACACAAUAGAAGCUAAGAGGAGUAGCGGAUUAAAGAGACAAGAGGAGGUUGUUAUCAGUAGAAUACGAACGGGCCACUGGUUUUUAAAUGGUACUCUUUUUAGGAUAGGUAAACAUCCGACUGGGUUGUGUGAUGUGUGCACUGAUAUGGAGACGGUUGAGCAUGUACUCCUUAGUUGUAGGAAGUAUGCAAGUCACAGGAGGGUGAUGUGGGGUGAAAUGAGUGGUGGAAGGGAACUUACGUUUGAACAAGUGGUUAAUAAGUUAAGUCAUGGUGAAGGGAAAGUGGUGGUUUUUCGUUUUUUGAGAAAUACUGGUCUCAUCAAGAGGAUCUAAGGAUUCAGGAGUGACGGACGAUUAACAGCCAGGAGAUGGCAGUAAUGCAACAGUUUUGGAUGCAAGCUGCCGUUAAACUUGACUGAAGAAGAAGAAGAAGGCAGGAAGGUGGCAUAUUACAAAGGAUCAAAACGUUUGCCAUGAAGUCCAGGAAUCAGUUUAUUGAUGUGCUGCUGGAGGAUGGAUUUCUGAUUCCUACUUUUGAGCAGCUGGAACAAUUUGGCUGUGACACCUCCUCCAGCCUAUGACAGCUGGGAUAGGCUCCAGCGCCCCCGCCACCCUGAAAAGGAUAAGCGGAAGCGAAUGGCUGGAUGAAAGCGGGAAGAGCGUUUGAAAGGAUUUGAGGGUUUUUUUUUUGUUUUUGUUUUUGUUUUUUCUGGGGGGGGGGCGUCAUGCUCUUGGUAAUGCAUGGAACCUUGUUUCAGUCACUGAGGUUUUUUUUUAUUUAUUUCUUGAGUCUUAUUAUUUAUUUUGUUAUUGUUAUUAAACUUAAUAACUCGGAAAAAAAAAACUAUCGUAAAAUGCUUCGACCGGAAGUAGACACCUUUCGCGCAUGCGGGGUACCGAUCGGGUUUCCGGUACGGAUCGGGUAGUGACAUGGGCGAAGUAUAAGGAGACUGGCCUCAAGCGGCAGGAAGGUGGCAUAUUAAAUAGAAUCAGAAAGUUUGCCAUGAAGUCCAGUAAUCUGUUUAUUGAUGUGCUGCUGGAGGAUGGAUUUCUGGUUCCUACAGUUGAACAGCUGGAAGAAUUGUGCUGUGACACCUCCUCCAGUGCCAGUCUCACGGAGCCCAGACUGCCAAAAAGGUUUCUGCGCUUUUGGCUGCCCCUGCUCAAGAUGGUCAGCUCACCAUCAUUUAUACAAAUCUUCCUCGAGAAGCUUUUCAUGAAGCAGAAGCUGCUCACCAAAGAGCCCUAUGGUCACAGGGCUUUUUACAUCGCGGCCUGGAUUUCAGAGGUCCUCCUGUGCAAUUGGAAGAAAGGUGCCAGGAGCAAGGACAGGAUCUUUAGGAACUGGAUCCAGCUAAAGUGGAUGGACUUAAUAUCGUUGUGCAUAGAUGUCCCCUCCAUCAGCAUGCCUCACCUGCUCCAGUUAAUCCUGGAUGACAUGGAGCACUGAAAUGUAAAUACAAAAUCUGUUCAGAGAUAUUAAUAAUGUAAAUACAGGUCCUUCUCAAAAAAUUAGCAUAUUGUGAUAAAGUUCAUUAUUUCCUGUAAUGUACUGAUAAACAUUAGACUUUCAUAUAUUUUAGAUUCAUUACACACAACUGAAGUAGUUCAAGCCUUUCAUUGUUUUAAUAUUGAUGAUUUUUGGCAUACAUAACUCAUGAAAACCCAAAAUUCCUAUCUCAAAAAAUUAGCAUAUUUCAUCCGACCAAUAAAAGAAAAGUGAAUGCUGAAGCAUCCCCAAAAAUGGCUAAAAUCGCCCCGGUUACAAGUACUUUGCUAAGCAAAAUUAAAUGAGGUUAGGCUGCAACUUGAAACGUUAACAUAAAAGGUUCAGUUGGUGAUGCAUGAAAGAAAAUAAUUUUCUUCUAAAAAUCUAUUGGAGAAUUCUGAUUGUAAGAAAUGAAAAACAUUCAAAGACUGAAACUGUUUCACACAGUAGAAAUUUGUAUUCAUCGUUUAUAUUGGUUUUAUUCUGAUUUUAGUAUCUAUUUGUGAGUGUAUUUUUUUUGUUUUGCAUGAUUUUAUUCUGGUGGUAUCGCAUAUUUUUAGUGUGUCAUUUUACGUUGCUUUAAUUCACUGUGGAUUGGCUGGGCAUGGGAAAAAUUAGCUGAUACUGAUCACAUGUUGAGGCAUGGGUGUAUCCAGAGGUGUCCUUUCAGCUGUUUAAAGGUCGUAUUAAAAGGAAGCAAGCUGAGCACUGGAAGGAGAGAGGCCCUAGAUUGGAAGAGGAACGCAUGAAGGCCAGGUGGAAAAGAGGGAGCCGCUGCGUGAUCGUGGGGGGUGCGACGCCUCUUCUGGAGACCGGUCAGCGUGAUGUGGUGACCCAGUCCCGACAGCAGGAACGGCGACAGUAGGAGACAACGCAUGUGAUUGACAUCAGGGCAGAUGUAUAACACUGCCUGCAUUUGUGAUGACGUGAGGGGAGCCGCGGUGGUAUCGAGCGACAGACUCCAAUGCAGAAUGCUAACUGGGCUGGGAUGUGAUGGGCCCAGUGGACGGA